UACGUAGGGUGCAAGCGUUGUCCGGAAUUAUUGGGCGUAAAGGGCUCGUAGGCGGUCCAUCGCGUCGGGAGUGAAAAGCUGGGGCUCAACCCCAGUCCUGCUUUCGAUACGGGUGGACUAGAGGUAUGCAGGGGAGAACGGAAUUCCUGGUGUAGCGGUGAAAUGCGCAGAUAUCAGGAGGAACACCGGUGGCGAAGGCGGUUCUCUGGGCCAUUACUGACGCUGAGGAGCGAAAGCGUGGGGAGCGAACAGG
rnacentral:rRNA from 1 species